rnacentral:rRNA from 1 species
ACGGGUGAGUAACGCGUGGGAAUCUACCUAGUUCUACGGAACAACACAGGGAAACUUGUGCUAAUACCGUAUACGCCCUACGGGGGAAAGAUUUAUCGGAAUUAGAUGAGCCCGCGUAAGAUUAGCUAGUUGGUGGGGUAAUGGCCUACCAAGGCGACGAUCUUUAGCUGGUCUGAGAGGAUGAUCAACCACACUGGGACUGAGACACGGCCCAGACUCCUACGGGAGGCAGCAGUGGGGAAUAUUGGACAAUGGGCGCAAGCCUGAUCCAGCCAUGCCGCGUGAGUGAUGAAGGCCUUAGGGUUGUAAAGCUCUUUCAGUGGGGACGAUAAUGACGGUACCCACAGAAGAAGCCCCGGCUAACUUCGUGCCAGCAGCCGCGGUAAUACGAAGGGGGCUAGCGUUGUUCGGAUUUACUGGGCGUAAAGCGCACGUAGGCGGAUCGUUAAGUCGGGGGUGAAAUCCUGGAGCUCAACUCCAGAACUGCCUUCGAUACUGGCGAUCUUGAGUCCGGAAGAGGUGAGUGGAACUCCUAGUGUAGAGGUGGAAUUCGUAGA